GCAGACAGAAGGGAAAGUUCUGUGCCAACGGUGGUUUUUCCGAGUGUUGUUGGAUACAUCGACGGGACGCAUAUCCACAUUCAGGCGGCGAAAAUAAUGAGCACCAGUACGUGAAUGGAAAAUAUUUUCAUUCACUGAAUGUUCAGGUUAAUGUUUAUCAACGUGCUUGCAAAGUGGCAUCCAGGGUGUCUGCAGCCUUUGGAAGCAACUGUAGACUAUUGGACCGGGUCAUGCUAGGUGACAGUAGCUGCAUGAUAGGAGAGUGAUUGUUGACACCAUUUCAGCAUCCUGCACCCUUGCAGGAAAGGAAAUACAACACAGCACAUAGCUGUACAUGCAACUGGCAUAGCUAAAAAGAGAUGGGAUUGUCUCUAGGGUCUGAAGAUGGAACCAGAUCAGGCAUGUGAAGUGACUGUGUUCUCAAUCGGGGAGAGCCAGACAAUGAUGGCGACAAUAAUGAUGUUGGACAUAACAAUGAUUUAAAUAAUGAAAAUCACUACAAUAAAAUCAAUGACACUGUUUCAGAACAUGAUGCUCCCACAGAAAGAGCCCAUGUUGCAGCAGGCCAAGCUGUCAGGAACCAAUCUGUUUAUAGACUUUUCUUGUAAAUAUGUUAAACCAGAAUUUUAUACAUUUCAGAACUAUUUUGAUAACGAAGUUAGAACAUCAACAAUAGACAUAGUCAACAUGCAGUUUAAAUGUAGGCCCAACAUGUGUUACAACAGGUCAAGCUGCUAGUAUCCAGUUUAUAAGUAGAUUUUUCUUGUGAAUAUAUCAUAAUUUUAUACUUUUCUGUAGAGUUCACAAUAUCAGAACUAUGUGACUGUAGAAAUAGUUAAAUUUUCAUUCUUAUGAAACUUAGUAGCUGUUCAUUCAUACAGAUCUCUUUAGAAAGUAGCAAAUGCCUUUUAACUUUAAUAAAUGAAAGAUGCAGUUCUUCUUGGACAGGACUUUUUAAAAAAAUGUAUGAGUUUUCCUUUAUGAAAUUAUUACAAGGGAAAAUUUCGACAUAGUCUUGCAGACAGUAGUGCAUGUGGUGGCCUCUGCAAGUGUUUGUCAAGAGUAGCGGUCAUCACUAAGACAUGUUCUUAAUGCUGUCACUUGGCUAUUAAAAUCUUAUAUUCUUCUUGAACAAUAUUUUACAUGUGCAACUCUUUGGAAUAAAUGUUUGAGGCUUCCA